rnacentral:tRNA from 1 species
GCGCGCAUAACUCAGUUGGCAGAGUAGCGGGCUUUUAACCCGAGAGUCGCAGGUUCGAGCCCUGCUGCGCGCACCA